UUAGUUCUGUUGAACUGUGUAAGGGGGGUACUUUUGAAUUAGAUGAUCAGUGGAGCAUAGAGGCGUGAGAAAGAAAUCAUAUUAGGAUGUGAAACCAGCUAGAGUAUGGUACAAUGUGACUUCAUGCCACAAGCUAAUUGUAAGGUCCAUUGUGCUUUUUAGCAAGUCAGCCUGAUAUCCCCUCUUAUCAGAGCUGAGUUCUUCUUUGGUUUUGCUACACGC